rnacentral:rRNA from 1 species
CCUACGGGAGGCAGCAGUGAGGAAUAUUGGUCAAUGGACGAGAGUCUGAACCAGCCAAGUAGCGUGAAGGAUGACUGCCCUAUGGGUUGUAAACUUCUUUUAUCUGGGAAUAAAAUGUUCCACGUGUGCGUUUUUGUAUGUACCAUAUGAAUAAGGAUCGGCUAACUCCGUGCCAGCAGCCGCGGUAAUACGGAGGAUCCGCGCGUUAUCCGGAUUUAUUGGGUUUAAAGGGUGCGUAGGUGGAUUGUUAAGUCAGUUGUGAAAGUCUGCGGCUCAACCGUAAAAGUGCAGUUGAAACUGGCAGUAUUGAGUACAGUAGAGGUGGGCGGAAUGCGUGGUGUAGCGGUGAAAUGCUUAGAGAUCACGAAGAACUCCGAUUGCGAAGGCAGCACACUGGACUGCAACUGACACUGAGGCUCGAAAGUGUGGGUAUCAAACAGGAUUAGAUACCUUGGUAGUC